GACGAACCGUGCGAACGUUGUUCGGAAUCACUGGGCUUAAAGGGCGCGUAGGCGGGCAUUCAAGUCAAGGGUGAAAUCCCCCAGCUUAACUGGGGAACUGCCUUUGAUACUGGGUGCCUCGAGUAAGGUAGGGGCAUGCGGAACUGAUGGUGGAGCGGUGAAAUGUGUUGAUAUCAUCAGGAACUCCGGUGGCGAAGGCGGCAUGCUGGGACGGUACUGACGCUAAGGCGCGAAAGCGUGGGGAGCGAACAGG
rnacentral:rRNA from 1 species